AGCAGCCGCGGUAAUUCCAGCUCCAAUAGCGUAUAUUAAAGUUGUUGCAGUUAAAAAGCUCGUAGUUGAAUUUCGGGAUCAGUGGGUCGGUCGUGCCACUGGUAUGCACUGGCUCUACUGGUUCCUCCUUCUUGAAGAACUGUAAUGCCAUUAAUUUGGUGUUGCAGGGAAACAGGACUGUUACUUUGAAAAAUUAGAGUGUUUAAAGCAGGCAAUCGCUUGAAUACAUUAGCAUGGAAUAAUGAAAUAGGACGUUCGAUCCUAUUUUGUUGGUUUCUAGGAUUGACGUAAUGAUUAAUAGGGAUAGUUGGGGGCAUUAGUAUUCAAUUGUCAGAGGUGAAAUUCUUGGAUUUAUUGAAGACUAACUACUGCGAAAGCAUUUGCCAAGGAUGUUUUCAUUAAUCAAGAACGAAAGUUAGGGGAUCGAAGACGAUCAGAUACCGUCGUAGUCUUAACCAUAAACUAUGCCGACUAGGGAUCGGA
rnacentral:rRNA from 1 species